GGAUUGUAGCCUGCAACCCGGCUACCAUGAAGCUGGAAUCGCUAGUAAUCGCAGAUCAGAAUGCUGCGGUGAAUACGUUCCCGGGUCUUGUACACACCGCCCGUCACACCAUGGGAGCCGGGAAUGCCCGAAGUCCGUAGCCUAACCGCAAGGGGGCGCGGCCGAAGGUGGGUUCGAUAAUUGGGGUGAAGUCGUAACAAGGUAUC
rnacentral:rRNA from 1 species